GAGUUUAUCAUGUUCGUUCCAGAAGUGUUCUAGGGUUUUUUAACCUUUAACAUCGACAUCGAGGCCGCACUACAUCAGAUGAUCAUCAUCUUUCUUGUAUAUGUCUUUUGAUCAGUCUUCAAAUACUCGCCUGUCUUUGAUCAUUGCCGAAUCGUUUUAGGUUUCCAUAUUAAUUAACGCCUGGUUUGUUUUAUUUCAUCUUGAUUCGUUGUAUGUUUGUUAACAUCUACUGAUCAUGUAUCAGUCGAUUAUCUGUAUUGUUGAAGAACUCAUAAUCAUAUGAGUACUUCUAGGGUUUGGUGGUCUUUUCGAGUUGGUUAUAAUUUUCUAAUAAAAUCUUUAGUCACCGUUUUGUCGCUAUAUCUGCAUUCUUGUAUACAUUCCUAAUUGUUGACAUGGUAUCAGAGCUUAUGGCUCUGUUAUCUUCUGUCGAUUACUAGUUUUUGGUUAGAUUCCAUCGAUUUUCAAUUCUAGGGUUCUGUGGUAUAACGAUUAGAUAAGUGUUGUUAUUUUUAGUCCUCUAGUGUUUGAAAUCCUAUUUGAGAAAGUUAUAGGAAUUUAACGAUCGUUCUUGGUCGAAUACUCAAUUGGAAGCUAGGGUUUCUGUGUAGAUAAACCCUUAUUCGAGAGUCAGGGUAGUGUCCAGUUCGUGAUUUGGGGUUCUUGAUAUGGCUACUCUUUUUGUUCUUUGAUUCUCGAGGUUUGUUGACUAUGAUGGAAGAUAAUCUGUGCUGAGUGUGGUGGUCCACUGGUUUUUGAUGCUUUACUCAUCCUGUUGCUGCAUGGUUGAUUCUUUGCAUAUGGCCUUGCGUCGAGGUUCUGAUGCAGUUUCUUAUCUUCUGUCGCUGAAUUCUCUCUAAGGUUUUUUAACUGUUCUUUGGCUGCGAAGUACUUUGGGCUAGAUUAAAGGCGGGUCAAAAUGUGCAGACGGGUCAAAGCCGGACCGCUAUAUAAAGAGACUCUAAAGUGAGAGAGUUUAUCAUGUUCGUUCCAGAAGUGUUCUAGGGUUUUUUAACCUUUAACAUUGACAUCGAGGCCGCACUACAUCAGAUGAUCAUCAUCUUUCUUGUAUAUGUCUUUUGAUCAGUCUUCAAAUACUCGCCCGUCUUUGAUCAUUGCCGAAUCGUUUUAGGUUUCCAGAUUAAGUAACGCCUGGUUUGUUUUAUUUCAUCUUGAUUCGUUGUAUGUUUGUUAACAUCUACUGAUCAUGUAUCAGUCGAUUAUCUGUAUUGUUGAAGAACUCAUAAUCAUAUGAGUACUUCUAGGGUUUGGUGGUCUUUUCGGGUUGGUUAUAAUUUUCUAAUAAAAUCUUUAGUCACCGUUUGUCGCUAUAUAUGUGUUCUUGUAUACAUUCCUCAUUGUUGACAUUUAUAAACUUUUCCACUAAAUAAUAUGAUAAGUUCAUAUUUAACAGGGCAAUCACAUACUCAAAUUUUGAAGGGGCCUGUCGUGAUGGUACAAUGGUGUAUAUUUUAAUGAGAAAAUACUUCUAAAAAGUAAAAAAGUUUUUGACUCUUUUGGAGUUUGGGGUCAUAUCUUCAUCAAAUUUGCCAUCAAUUUCACAGUUGAAAGCUUUCUUCGUCGACAAAUUCCCCGUCGACAAAAACUUCAUCCAAAAACUAUGCCCCAAAACACAGUCGGUUUCACCGCCACACGCACCACUACAAUGAUGACAACGACUGUUGGCAAGUUGAAGAGAGAAAGGUUAUACAGAGAGAAAGAGAAAGUGGGUGUUGGAUCGUUAUGGUUGAGGUGAGGCGGUGGAGAUCUUUACGGUGGCGAUGGGGGUAUGUGGGUUGAGAUUUGUUGUUGCCUUUUUCCGGCAUAAAGUAGAUCAAACAUUAGUUCUGGAAAUCGAUUUCUUCAAACAUUCAUCUUAUUUCUCCGAUAUCAGAUUUCUUUGGUCGUUUCAUCUUUUAUUCAAAUAAAUUGCAAUUACGCUUUUGUUACCA